AUUGAACGCUGGCGGAAUGCUUUACACAUGCAAGUCGAACGGCAGCACGGGAGCUUGCUCCUGGUGGCGAGUGGCGAACGGGUGAGUAAUAUAUCGGAACGUACCCCGUCGUGGGGGAUAACUCUCCGAAAGGAGUGCUAAUACCGCAUACGACCUGAGGGUGAAAGCGGGGGACCUGCAAGGGCCUCGCGCGAUGGGAGCGGCCGAUAUCGGAUUAGCUAGUUGGUGAGGUAAAGGCUCACCAAGGCGACGAUCCGUAGCGGGUCUGAGAGGACGACCCGCCACACUGGAACUGAGACACGGUCCAGACUCCUACGGGAGGCAGCAGUGGGGAAUUUUGGACAAUGGGGGAAACCCUGAUCCAGCCAUUCCGCGUGAGUGAAGAAGGCCUCGGUGU
rnacentral:rRNA from 1 species